ensembl:lncRNA
UCUCAGGGGGGUAAGUCUGGCAGGCGAACCUGCCCUGCCGUUUACCUACUACUACAGGCAACUUCAUGCAGAGCUCAACUCUGAAAUCCAAGUCAAGUCUCAAGACCCUGAGAUCCAAGUCAAGCCUCCAGUCCCUGACAUCCAGGUCAAGCCUCCAGUCCCUGAGAUCCAGGUCAAGCCUCCAGUCCCUGAGAUCCAGGUCAAGCCUCCAGUCCCUGAGAUCCAAGUCAAGCCUCCAGUCAGUGAAGCCCAAGCCAAGCCUCCAGGCUCUGACGUCCAAGCCAAGCCUCCAGGCUCUGACGUCCAAGCCAAGCCUCCAGGCUCUGACGUCCAAGUCAAGCCUCACGUCCCUGAGGUCCAAGUCAAGCCUCACGUCCCUGAG